rnacentral:lncRNA from 10 species
UAAGAGACAAAGUCUGGCUGUGUUGUCCAGGCUGGAUUCCAACUACUGGGCUCAAGUUCUCCCACCUGAUUUCCAAGGAGCUGGGAUUAGAGACACAUACCACCACACAAAACUGGUUCCAUCAAAGUGAUAAACUUCAACCCCUCCAGGCCCCGGGAAUGGCUGGGUAUAAUACUGCAAAUGAGACAUAGGAAGUAUACAGGAAGUUCUCUUCAAACUUCGGACUCCGAGCAGUGGCUGGGCUUCCAGAGUCAAGCUCUAGCAGAGCACUCCCCACCAACAAUCUCUAGAGACAGAAUCUCACUCUAUUGCUCCGGUUGAAGUGCAGUGGCUGCUUACAGGGGCGAUCACGGUGCACUGCAGCCUCGAAGUCAUGGCCUCAAUCAGUCCCCCUGCCUCCACUCAAGGAUCUGCCUUAAAAAUCGCCUAUUAAAAAUCUAAUCAUUCAGAGUCGAAAGUCACCUCUGCUCUGACUCAUUUUUCGCACCAUAUAUGCCUGUGUCUCAUAAGUUUUUUUUUUCUAAUUUCAAAUAUGCUUUCAAAUUCUGUUGCAUUUCUAUAUCCACUGCUACUGUUCCACUAAACAUUUAACACUUCGUGAUUGUUUUAUAUCUCUUUUUGUGAUAGAAGAAAAAAAUCUUAUGUGUUGUAUAUGUCUAUUUCUUCUG